GAAGUCCGUCGACGCCGGCAAGGUGGCGUUGGGAUCGGUCCGGAGCUUGCCGGACACCGCGAGGCCGGGGGCGGCGGCCAAUGGAUCAGCGCGGUGUGCAUGGGUGGUGGAGGAGGCGAUUAGCGCCGCGAUUAACAGGUAAAUCGCCGCCAUUACCGACGCGAUUAAGCGCCCUAAUACCCACUCUAAUCCUCUAGGAGAGAUGAUGAGAGUGUUUUUUGUGUUCUUGCACUUUGCACUCGCACACCUCUCUCUAUAUAUAGAUUCAUCAUCUAUGUGUGUACAUUUAUAUCAAAGAGAUUUGUUGCUAAAAUUGAAGCAAUUAUACACAAUGGUAUUCCCUUGACUUGACGUAGUGAGGUGAUAUUCACUUUCGAUUUAUACUGUGGACCAAAUAAUAAUAAUAAUAAUAAUAAUAAUAUAAAAAUGCAGGGGUUUAAGGACAUAUACGAAGGUGUUUAUUAGCUGACUCUGCUAAUUGACAUGCGAAUAAAUUUGGUGACACGGAGAAAAGAGAGAAUGAAAGAGAAAAAUUAUUGUUAUGCAUGAUAACAUCUUAGAGUUAACUCUUAGUAUUUAUUAAAAAAAUAUUUAUUGCAUAAGGAUAAAUAAAAAAGAAACUAGUAAAAAUAUUAUUAUAUUAAUGAAAAAAUCAUACCUG
rnacentral:lncRNA from 1 species